GGGGACUGUUUAUGUGCUAAUGCUCCUCCUCUUCACAUAUCUCUCCUCUCCCCACUUGUUGGCCAGGCAUUCUUAUUUCUCAUUUCAACAACUAGUAUACACCACCAUAUGGAAUCCAGGACAUGAUGUCAGCCCAAAUCUCUGACCUUCAGAAAGUCAAAGUUGUUCGAAGAAAAGACUUCCCAAGAUCAAACCUCUCUGGAUUCAAAUGCGCACAGUUUACUUCCUGUUUUCCAGCUUUCUCCCUGACUGCUUCACUUAUGGAUUCCUCUCUUCACCCAUUACAGGUUGAAGAGACAUCUACGUUGGUGGUCUCGGGGACUCCUGCAGGUGGGUACUCCCUGGCAGAUGUGCCAGAUCCCAAUAAGUGCUGCUAAGAAAAAAGCAGGCAGAAGAACCUGGAAAGACUGGACUGGCCAUCUAACCUCCAUCUUUCUCCUGUGCUGGCUACUUCCUACCCUUGAACUUCAGACUCCACGUUCUUCAGCUUUUGGACUUUUGGACCGAUUCCAGUGGUUUGCCAGGGGCUCUUGGGCUUUUGGCCACAAACUGAAGGCUGCACUGUAAGCUUCCCUACUUCUGAGGUUUUGGGACUCGGACUGGCUUCUUUGCCCCUCAAUUUACAGACAGCCUAUUGUGGGACUUCAUUUGUGAUCCUGUGAGUCAAUGCUUAAUAAACUCCCUUUCAUAUAUAUGUCUAUCCUAUUA
rnacentral:lncRNA from 13 species